CUCAAGCUCGUGGUGAUGCGCACAAGAUGUAUGCUGAUCUACUCGUGUGCCCAUACACAUCUGUUCAGUCUCAAGAUGGUUGCACAGAAGGAUAAUAUGGAAGAGCAAGGCGAGAUCAGGGCUGCCAGGAUCAUCAUCCUGUCAACGCAAAAACGAGAUCAGACCAAAAGAUCGGGUGACAAGACGAAUUGGCUUUUCAUCUUUCAGUAGUUACUUGAUCAAAGAGGUAACUUAGUUCGCUCAGUCCAGCAAAGUUGUUAGGGUGCGUAGUGGAGCAACUAAUGAGA